rnacentral:rRNA from 1 species
UGGGGAAUUUUGGACAAUGGGCGCAAGCCUGAUCCAGCAAUGCCGCGUGCAGGAUGAAGGCCUUCGGGUUGUAAACUGCUUUUGUACGGAACGAAACGGCCCUGGUUAAUACCUGGGGCUAAUGACGGUACCGUAAGAAUAAGCACCGGCUAACUACGUGCCAGCAGCCGCGGUACUACGUAGGGUGCGAGCGUUAAUCGGAAUUACUGGGCGUAAAGCGUGCGCAGGCGGUUAUAUAAGACAGAUGUGAAAUCCCCGGGCUCAACCUGGGACCUGCAUUUGUGAAUGUAUAGCUAGAAUACGGUAGAGGGGGAUGGAAUUCCGCGUGUAGCAGUGAAAUGCGUAGAUAUGCGGAGGAACACCGAUGGCGAAGGCAAUCCCCUGGACCUGUACUGACGCUCAUGCACGAAAGCGUGGGGAGCAAACA